rnacentral:misc_RNA from 1 species
GAUGAAGAACGUAGCGAAAUGCGAUAAGUAAUGUGAAUUGCAGAAUUCAGUGAAUCAUCGAAUCUUUGAACGCACAUUGCGCCCGCCAGUAUUCUGGCGGGCAUGCCUGUUCGAGCAUCAUUUCAACCAUCAAGCCCUGCUUGCGUUGGGGUCCUGCGGCUGCCCGCAGGCCCUGAAAACCAGUGGCGGGCUCGCUAGUCACACCGAGCGCAGUAAUACAUCUCGCUUUGGGCGUGCGGCGGGUUCUUGCCGUUAAACACCCCCUUUUUACCAAGGUUGACCUCGGAUCAGGUAGGAAUACCCGCUGAACUUAAGCAUAUCAAUAAGCGGAGGA